AGUAGGGGACAGCGGGCCCUACCACGAAGGCAGAAAGCCAAAGCUUUCGGUGAAAGACAGUGGAUUCCCUCUGCUCAGGGCAGGAGCAAGGCCUUCUCUACCUGUGCAUCCCACCUCACUGUGGUGGUGGUCUUUUAUGGAACAGCCAACUUCAACUAUGACAGACCCAGAGAAGGUUACUCCCUAGACAUGGAUAUCCUGGUCUCUGUGCUCUUCUGCGUUAUGACUCCCAUGUUGAACCCCAUCAUCUACAGCCUGAGAAACAAGGAGGUCAAGGGUGCCCUGAGGAAGCUGACUGGGGGGUAUGUGACCUCUGGUAACAUUCAUGUCUAGAUCACUGGUCUUCACACAGUGCUCCAGUGCCUAAGACGGACCUGGCAUAAAGCAGGUAUUCG